UAAUAUUAAACCAACAAAAGAAAUCCUUAGAAGCCUAAAGAAAAGGGGGGAAAGAUGAGGCCGAGGCCGAUGCCGAUGGAAUUCGUGACGGACCCAGACGUCCAAGGUUCAACCAUGGAAGUCGACGAUGUUGACACACUGGAGAUCUUCGGUGAAGGCGUCGUCGCUUCCGAUAAUUUUGAUGACUCCAAUAUCGACUAAAAAAACAAAGAAGAAUCGGUCCUCAUCUAUCCUUUUUUUUCCCUUCUUACUUUCGCUUUUUAGGGUCUGAAAUUUCUUAAAACUUUGUUCAAUUUAGUUGAAUCUGAACUGCACUAUGGAUGCUUAUCUAUAUGCAAAUCCUGUGAAUCGUCACAGGUCCUCGGGUUCAACUACAUAAUACAAAUUCCACCUUCAAACUUCAUUUUUCCUUCAAAAUAAAGCUUCGAUUUGAUCUCUUUUAGUGAGACAAAUGGCUGAAAAUCUUAUGCAUGCUUUACAAUAUAGCAGCUAUGGCGGAGGCGCUGCUGCUUUGGAGCAUGUUGAAGUUUCGAUCCCAACACCAAAUAAAGGUGAAAUUUUGCUUAAACUGGAUUGUAGACUGGUUUGUAGACUCUUUUAUAAUUUAACCAACAAAAUAAUAGACUGGUUUGUAGAUCUCUUAAUUAAAAAUGGAUAGCCUUUCAAUUGCUUCUGUUUUGUUUCUACUUAUUGUUUUAAGCUGGAAAGGUUGGUUUUCUUUUUAAAGGAAAGUUGAUUCUCCCUUAAUUCUUAGAUUUCCGGAACUGAUUUUCAGGUUUGACAAGGAACUGAACAAGUAAGUUGCUAUUAAAGUUAUUGAUUUAGAAGAAUCGUAAGUGGAUACCUUUGUUAUAUUUUCCUUGAUUUAUUCCUCAUUAAAGUGUCUUGUAGCAGGUGCUUGCUAUGAGCAGCAAAGUAUGAAUGAAUGUGAUUAUCAACUUUACAAAUAUACAUAGUAAAGUUUAAAGUAUGAAUCGAAUUGCUAUGAGCAGCAAAUUUAGGGGUAAAACGUCACACCAAAUUGCUAUGAGCAGCAAAGAAAAUUUUUUUAAUUGCAGAAAACCAACUUCCCUUCUUUCCCAUACUGCCAGAAAAUUUAGGGACCGCACGACACUUAAUUUCUUGUGGUUGAUUUCGAUAGGUGGUGGACUGGUGAGGAAUCUGUGAAUGUUCUCUUAGAAUCCGCAGGUCAAGCAUGACACUGAUGGUUUUGAUAAACAAGGAAUGAGGCUUCUGCUUGCGACACUUAACAGGAUAGUUGAUUCAUUGCAGACAACUUAUGAAGGUUUGUUUUUAUUGGAUUUCAGACUUCAAUGGUAAAGGCAAUAUAUAUAUUUGAUUUAUCUGCACAAGGUAAGCAUUUUCUUCCGGUUCUCAUGAAUUUCCGUCUAUGGUCGAGCAUUCUCUUCAAGCGUAAUGUCCUUACUAGAAUGCUUUCCAUAUUUCCAUUGUAUCUUACAUGCAAUCCGAACUUAUAUCUUUGUGAACGUAUAUGCAGUUUCCUCUUCUGUCGAAAAAUGCAUACUUACAAAAGUUGGUUGCAAGUGAUAAUGAAGAAAACAAUGAUGAAAUUCAUAUUUCUGACAUUCCCGGAGGCCCAGUUGCCUUUGAGAUAUGUGCCAAAAUUUAAUAAAAAAUGAACUUAUAUCAUUUUUCUUUUACUUGUGUGCAUUGCAUAACAAAUCUAUGACACUUUUAGUCAAGUGUGACUGUUGGUUACAUGUACGAGUCCAGACAACAGAUAUGAUUGAACUUUGGUUACCUAUAUUGACUUAAGUGAGUAGAUAUAUCAGUAGUGUACAUUUUAUAUUUCACAAACAAUCUUAAAAAGUUGAGUUAUUAUUAUUUUUAGAUGUAUUUUUUUAAUAAUUUACUAUAACAUUAUAAAACAAUCUUAAAAAGUUGAACUGAUUUACUUAUCUUUGCCAUGUUCACUAUGGUUUGAACAUAUUAAGUUACUCUUAUUUUCAUGCAGAGCAUGUAGGAGCCAAAUUUGCGGUUCAAAUUCGAAGCCAUGCUCAACAGUUUUUCUGUAAGGCUCAUUGGUUUGAGUUCAUUAUAAGAUUUCCUUGACUAAGUAAAUGUAUUAUAUCUUUUAUUACCAAGAUUUACUUGAUUAAGAAAAUGCAUUGUAUAUUAUUACCUUGCAUAUGUAUUAUUUAUUUUAGUUUUCAUUCUAAAUUUGCAUUUUUACUUAAAA